rnacentral:rRNA from 1 species
UGGAGCUGAAGUCAGUCGAAGAUACCAGCUGGCUGCAACUGUUUAUUAAAAACACAGCACUGUGCAAACACGAAAGUGGACGUAUACGGUGUGACGCCUGCCCGGUGCCGGAAGGUUAAUUGAUGGGGUCAGCGCAAGCGAAGCUCCUGAUCGAAGCCCCGGUAAACGGCGGCCGUAACUAUAACGGUCCUAAGGUAGCGAAAUUCCUUGUCGGGUAAGUUCCGACCUGCACGAAUGGCGUAAUGAUGGCCAGGCUGUCUCCACCCGGGACUCAGUGAAAUUGAACUCGCUGUGAAGAUGCAGUGUACCCGCGGCAAGACGGAAAGACCCCGUGAACCUUUACUAUAGCUUGACACUGAACACUGGUCCUUGAUGUGCAGGAUAGGUGGGAGGCUUUGAAGUGUGGACGCCAGUCUGCAUGGAGCCAUCCUUGAAAUACCACCCUUUAAUGGCUGGUGUUCUAACGUGGGCCCGUGAACCGGGUUGCGGACAGUGUCUGGUGGGUAGUUUGACUGGGGCGGUCUCCUCCUAAAGAGUAACGGAGGAGCACGAAGGUUGGCUAAUCCUGGUCGGACAUCAGGAGGUUAGUGCAAUGGCAUAAGCCAGCUUGACUGCGAGCGUGACGGCGCGAGCAGGUGCGAAAGCAGGUCAUAGUGAUCCGGUGGUUCUGAAUGGAAGGGCCAUCGCUCAACGGAUAAAAGGUACUCCGGGGAUAACAGGCUGAUACCGCCCAAGAGUUCAUAUCGACGGCGGUGUUUGGCACCUCGAUGUCGGCUCAUCACAUCCUGGGGCUGAAGUAGGUCCCAAGGGUAUGGCUGUUCGCCAUUUAAAGUGGUACGCGAGCUGGGUUUAGAACGUCGUGAGACAGUUCGGUCCCUAUCUGCCGUGGGCGCUGGAAGAUUGAGGGGGGCUGCUCCUAGUACGAGAGGACCGGAGUGGACGCAUCACUGGUGUUCGGGUUGUCAUGCCAAUGGCACUGCCCGGUAGCUACAUGCGGAAGAGAUAAGUGCUGAAAGCAUCUAAGCACGAAACUUGCCCCGAGAUGAAUCUUCCCUGAGCCUUUAAGGCUCCUGAAGGAACGUUGAAGACGACGACGUUGAUAGGCCGGGUGUGUAAGCGCAGCGAUGCGUUGAGCUAACCGGUACUAAUGAACCGUGAGGCUUAACCUUACAAC